CACUGUCACUCCUACGGGAGGCAGCAGUGGGGAAUAUUGCACAAUGGGCGCAAGCCUGAUGCAGCCAUGCCGCGUGUGUGAAGAAGGCCUUCGGGUUGUAAAGCACUUUCAGUCGUGAGGAAGGUAGUGUAGUUAAUAGCUGCAUUAUUUGACGUUAGCGACAGAAGAAGCACCGGCUAACUCCGUGCCAGCAGCCGCGGUAAUACGGAGGGUGCGAGCGUUAAUCGGAAUUACUGGGCGUAAAGCGCAUGCAGGUGGUUUGUUAAGUCAGAUGUGAAAGCCCCGGGGCUCAACCUCGGAAUUGCAUUUGAAACUGGCAGACUAGAGUACUGUAGAGGGGGUAGAAUUUCAGGUGUAGCGGUGAAAUGCGUAGAGAUCUGAAGGAAUACCGGUGGCGAAGGCGGCCCCCUGGACAGAUACUGACACUCAGAUGCGAAAGCGUGGGGAGCAAACAGGAUUAGAUACCCUGGUAG
rnacentral:rRNA from 1 species